GUGUGGAUAUGGAAAAUUUGUUAUGGGAAGAUAAGCUGCCCAUGCCAUUCACUGUUGGAAAAUGUAAAGUAAUGAGGAAUCCUGAGCAUAAGUGUCAUAUUCUUGCAGGCAUGGUGUGUGGAAUUCUCUGCAAAGUAUCCCAUCCUUAUCCCUCAACUCUGAUGUCUCUCUGUAUAUUCACCCUUAUCAUAGAGAUGGGUGUCAGCCAAGUGAUGGAUCCAAACAUCUCAGAACCUUGGAGAGAAGAAAUGGGAAUCAGAACCCAGAUCUGCAUUGUACAUCUGGCUUUUGUCUCGGUAAUGGGCCAAAACAAAACACUGGAUCCAAACGCUGCUUUUUGGAGAGGGGGGCGUGCUUUUGCAUUUUACUACUCAGGCCUAGAUAAUGUACACAAUGAGUCUAUACUCCUAUAUCCAUAUGAUUUAUCAUUUAUGCAGUCCCAUAGCUGUGCAAAGGGAUUAUAUGUAAAACUUCAUCUUUUCCAGGGAUGCUUACCAUUGACAUACUCUGGGCACGUAGCAAUAGUAUGGGAUUUGCUGAGACCUGCAGCAGGUGACGAGUGUUCACUACUCGGUAAAUUCCCAAAUCUGCUUAUUAUAGCUGGGUUUUUUUGUCCUUGCUUCUAGGCAUAUGUUCAAUACAAGCAACAACAAAUCUCACCCCCCCUCAAAAAAAACCCAAACAACCUCCCCAACUUCUACACAAAUAAGUUAUGAACUCAUCUCACUUUUUUGAAUUAUCAGGAUGAAGAUAUUCCCUCCCCUUUAUCUCAGUUACCCCCAUGUUAGCUCACCCCACUGUUUGAAAGACUGGGAGGCACUGUGCUUAGGGUCUGUUGGAAUAAGGGUGGAAAGGCAGAGGCGGAGGGGUCUGAGUGAGAAUACUUUGCCAGUAGCCCCCAGCCCGUUAAACCAAAGCAUAAGCUCAAGUGCAUUUACUGAUCUCAGCUGGUGGUAUUGCAUACACAGCUGGAGGAGUAACGAUAAGAGAGCAAAAGUGGGGCAACAAAACUACCUCUAUGUAUAUCACCUAAGCCCUCUGGGGAUGGAUUUCAGUUCCCUUUCACAUAAUACCAGAUGAAGCAUCAGCGAGAGAAAUUCUUUUAGCCUUUUGAAAAUUCUGUCUAGACACUCUGGGAACGUGGUUCACUUCACUACACCAUAGUUACCCAUAGGACUUAUCAACCAAGAUAAAUCUAUGUCAACAAGAGCAAUAGUAACUUAGGCCAACAACCUUGGCAAUGGCAUUGCAAUUUUUUACUCGUUUUCUGUUUGUUGGGUGUCUCCGUGAAAUCUUAUUGCCUCAGCCCCAUGCUGCAGCCCACUGGUCUGAAUCCUGCCCCCCUAAAAACCUCCCUGUUGAGCAAAAUGCAAAAAUUAAAGACUCAGAAGAGAAAAUGAAUGGUCAUGCACAGUGCUCCUUAGGUCCCAUUUAUCUCACUUUGAUUGGAGCUGAGGUUGUGGAUUCCACAAUGAACUCUGCAGCUUGUAGAUAUUGUUUUGCUCCCAUGGAUAUCGUCUUAGGCUGAGAGACACCCAUUGUUUUUUGUUCAUUGGUCUCAGCUGGUUCAGAUACAUAGAAGCAUAGUUAUAUAGACAUUGCCUUUCUGGAUCAGACUAGUCCAGUCACUUGUCUCGAACAGUGGCCAGAUUCUUCAGAGGAAGGUUCAAAAACCAUCAGAGUGGACAGUUCUGGAAUAAUCUGUCCCUAGGGGAAGUUUCCAUCUAAUCCCAGCCCCUUAGUAGUUGGAUGAGCAUUUAAAUUGUUUAAACUAUCUAAUGUAACAGUGGUGGUUCUCAUUAUCCAUAUAAAUAGCUAAUACUGCAUUGCUCCUGGAAAAGCACAUGAAGGAACAUUGGUAUACACUGGGGUUACGCAGAUUUGUGAGAGUUUUGUUUCCUGUAGCCCAAAACCAUUAGCCAUUUGAUCCUGGACAAUUCACAUAUUAAAGAUAAUGAUAACAGGGCACCUCCACUGGGUUAACACUUUAGGGUUGGGUUUGUACUGUGGGAGUGGUGACCGAGUUGCAAUGCAGUCAUUGUGCAAUGCUUUUGUUUUCAUGAUUUACACUUGUUCACAAAUGUCUGUUAUUGGAAGCAUGGAACCCCAAUUAGCAGUUGAUAUGGAGCAGGAAUCCCUAUUAAGGUUAAACUGGUCAAAGUUUCCCAGUGUUGAGUGAGAAAGAAGAGCUGUUUAAUCACAGGGUAGUAACUAAGCAGAUGCCUUUGUGGUUACUUGAAUUGUGAACUAAGUCAUAAAGACGUUCAUCUAUGAA